GCAGAGGUGGCGAGCGUUGUUCGGAUUUACUGGGCGUAAAGGGCGCGUAGGCGGCCGCGUGUGUGGGGUGUGAAAUCUCCGGGCUUAACCCGGAAAGUGCGCCCCAAACUGCGAGGCUCGAGUUCGGGAGGGGAGAUCGGAAUGCAGGGUGUAGCGGUGAAAUGCGUUGAUAUCCGGCAGAACACCGGUGGCGAAGGCGGAUCUCUGGAACGAAACUGACGCUGAGGCGCGAAAGCAGGGGGAGCAAACAG
rnacentral:rRNA from 1 species